GGGGGCGUACUGGUUUCGACGGAGGUCUGGAGCCAUCAGUAGCGAGUCGUGUUUCGCUCUUUCACACGUAAAAAAACUGAGCACUAAAGAUAAACGCAGAUAACAAUAAUUACGCAUUAGCUGCCUAAUUUAUUAGGUAGCCCGUCUCUCUUAAGUUCCCACAGCUUAAGAUGAGGCGCCAAACUAUGUGGGGAACGACUUAACGGAUGUCCUGACGUUAAGUUGUACAAUCAGGACUAGCCGAUCUUAAAGCCCGUUACUAGGCGUUUUGAAAGGCGAACUCUAAAGUAGUAACUGCACUCGGAGAAACUGAUGGUGAAGGGCUUUCGGACGUGGGUUCAAUUCCCACCGCCUCCACCA
rnacentral:tmRNA from 1 species